AGCGCCUGGCGACGGGCGCCUCCUGCCGUCCAAGUACGCCACCGGCCCACCCAGUGCCCGCGUCCCUCUGUCCCCCGCCCCCCUCCACCGGAUCUGCUCGUCUCCCCCGGGGCCGCACCCGCACACGGCCGCUGCUGAGUCAGGGGACGGGCAGACGGAUGGUCCCUCCACCGCAAGGGCUCCGGAGGACAUACUUAAAUGAAACAAAUCCUUCUAUCCGAAGUAAAACCUCAGAAACAUUUUUAAUAAAUGGGCAUUAACGUCUCUCCUGGCAAUGGAAAUCGUGAAUCUCUUAGCAAAGUUUCAGCAAUAAUUCAAGCACAUUUUCCUACCUCGUGUGGCAACGCUCCUUGGUGGAUUCCCCUGGAAUAAUCGGCCCAUUCCAGUUGUUAGGACGUGGUCUUUAAACCUGAGUUAUUCCUGAACAUCUUGGAAAAUAGGGGUUCUUCAUCUCAGCAAUUAUGAAAUACUGCAGACCUUGUUUGCUGCCGGGGAGAAAGAUUUAUCGUCAGAGAUAAUGGCAAGACUGCGGCCCGUGCUCCCCGAGACCCUUCUCUCGAGUUUUUCAUCAUUUCAACAGAACUGAAGAUGGAGAAGAAGCUUCUGGUGGAGCAUGUGGAGACGGGGCGUGCCAGCACGGGAGGACUGGCCGUCUAGCAGGGAGGAGCGCGGCAGCCCGGCCUUCUGUCCCCCACGGGAACCACGGCCAGAGCCUGCCGGGAGCAAGCGGCAGACACAGUGCCACCAUCAUGCAGCCACAGCCCGCCCUGCCCCCCUCCUUCCUUCCGCAGCGGAGAGCGAGGGGCUCGUCUGGUUGGUGAGACUCCAUGGCACAGACUGGGCGGGAUGGCAGCUGACGUUCAAAACCGGCGCAGGUCCCUCCUGACACCCACGCCCCUCGGCACAGCGCACGGCUGCGCUCCUGUCUCUGCACCUCCAGAUCUGGGCUGGGCUUCGGCGAGCCUGGACUGGGGCUUCGGGGAGAAGGAGAGAGACAGCAUCCCUGCUGAUGGGAGGCCAUUGUGGCCAGACUCAGGUGCCCAGAGGUCGGUCAAAGCCCGGUCCAGGCGCAUCCGCGAAGGGAUUCUGCAGGUGUCAUCAGCAUUUGACUUUGCGGAAAGCAGGUGGAGGUCCCCCGAGGAGGAGGGGGCUCCCUCUGCCUGCCCACGGCCUGCAGGACCCCAGACCACAUCAGCUCUUCCCUGGGUCUGCAGGCUGGUCUGCGGGUUCCAGACGUGCCAGCCCCCACGGUCACGCGGCCCCGUUCCCGCUGUGGUUCAAGCAUGAGGCUUCUACCUCCGUGUGCUUCCUCCAGGGAGACGCGUGAGGAACCAACGGACACGAGCCCUCGUGACUCUCGGGGGCUCACUCGUGGGCUCAGGACAGCUGCACAGACAAGGAACAACGCUGCCUCAGACACAAGGAGACCAACACAGGUGAUUGACCCGCCCGGGCCCGCAGUUUCUCAGCAGGCCCCCGGGCCUCAGAGUCCUCUGGAGCCUCGCCUGGUCACAGAUGCCUGGACACCAAGCUUCCCAGCCCCCUCCCCAGACCUGAGCUGCCCCCGAGUGCUAUGCCCUUGGUUCUCCCGCCCGGCUCACACACAGGCCCCCAAAGCAUCACCCCCUCCCGGGACCCAGGCCAGCACUCCACACUGUCCACCGCAGCCCCCACGGUCACCACAUCGGCCCCAUCCCCCCCAAGCUGCUGCAUGGCCUGCCCCAGUCCCUGGUCCUGAGCUGGGCCCUGCAGGCCUGUGGGACCAAGGCCGGGAUAUGCAAGGAACCGUGCCAGGCACACGGCUGUCCCUGCCGGAGACUGUGGUCGUCCGACGGUUUUACUCUUCAAACACAGGAUGGUACAAAGCACUUUCACCUUAGUUUGAAAUUCCUACUUUCAAGUCCUACCUUGAAAAAGUUUUCAUUAUCAGACUGAAUUCAAGAUUUGCUGGGGAAAAAAGUGAUUGUAUCUUCCUUCUGGGAUUUUGCUUUUAAACCAAUCAAUAAAUCGUU